rnacentral:rRNA from 1 species
AGAGAAUAGAUACCCGGGUAGUCCAUGCCGUAAACUAUGGAUACUAGCUGUUGGGGGUAUCGACCCCUCCAGUAGCGAAAGACUAACGACGUUAAGUAUCCCGCCUGUGGAGUACGAUCGCAAGAUUAAAACAAUAAAGGAAGUUGACGGGGACCCGCACAAGCGGUGGAGCGUGUUCUUUAAAUUCGAUGCUAAACGAAGAACCUUACCAGGGCUUGACAUCCCUUGAAUUACUCCGAAAGGAGUGAGUGCUUUAUUGAGCAAGGUGACAGGUGAUGCAUGGCCGUCGUCAGCUCGUGUCGUGAGAUGUUUGGUUAAGUCCAUCAACGAGCGCAACCCUUAUACUUAGUUGUAUUUUC